GUCGGGAUAGCUCAGUUGUAGAAA
rnacentral:tRNA from 1 species